AUUGAACGCUGGCGGCAUGCCUUACACAUGCAAGUCGAACGGCAGCGGACCUUCGGGUGCCGGCGAGUGGCGAACGGGUGAGUAAUAUAUCGGAACGUACCUUUCAGUGGGGGAGUAACGUAGCGAAAGUUACGCUAAUACCGCAUAUUCUGUGAGCAGGAAAGCAGGGGAUCGCAAGACCUUGCGCUGAUUGAGCGGCCGAUAUCAGAUUAGCUAGUUGGUGAGGUAAAGGCUCACCAAGGCGACGAUCUGUAGCGGGUCUGAGAGGAUGAUCCGCCACACUGGAACUGAGACACGGUCCAGACUCCUACGGGAGGCAGCAGUGGGGGAAUUUUGGACAAUGGGCGCAAGCCUGAUCCAGCCAUGCCGCGUGAGUGAAGAAGGCCUCGGUGUAAG
rnacentral:rRNA from 1 species